UACAGAGGGUGCGAGCGUUAAUCGGAAUUACUGGGCGUAAAGAGCGCGCAGGCGGUCGUUCAAGUCGAGUGUGAAAGCCCCCGGCUCAACUGGGGAGGGUCAUUCGAUACUGAUCGACUGGAAGGCAGGAGAGGGAAGCGGAAUUCCCGGUGUAGUGGUGAAAUGCGUAGAUAUCGGGAGGAACACCAGUGGCGAAGGCGACUACCUGGCCUGUUUCUUGACGCUGAGGCGCGAAAGCUAGGGGAGCAAACGGGG
rnacentral:rRNA from 1 species